CGGAUCCGAUUCCUUUUCUACCAAGGAGACGCAUCACGACAAGGACGGCAGCGAAGGGGAGGCUGAAGACGACGACUGGGACAGCUUCAACGUGAAGAAGCGCAAGGAGACGUUGGAGACGAAGUCGCGAUGCUCACACAGCGUGCACUGUCCGCACUUCCCCGAGGACAAGCAGGAGUGGUGGUGCCUGUACGUGGCGAACUGGCGGCACC